rnacentral:rRNA from 1 species
GGGGCCCGCACAAGCAGUGGAGUAUGUGGUUAAUUCGAAGCAACGCGAAGAACCUUACCAGGGCUUGACAUCCCUUGAAGCAGCUAGAGAUAGCUGUGUCCUUCGGGACAAGGAGACAGGUGGUGCAUGGUUGUCGUCAGCUCGUGUCGUGAGAUGUUGGGUUAAGUCCCGCAACGAGCGCAACCCCUGUGGUUAGUUGCCAGCAAGUAGCGUUGGGCACUCUAGCCAGACUGCCGGUGAUAAAUCGGAGGAAGGUGGGGACGACGUCAAAUCAUCAUGCCCUUUAUGUCCUGGGCUACACACGUACUACAAUGGCCGUUACAACGGGAAGCGAAGGAGCAAUCCGGAGCAAAUCCCUUAAAGGCGGUCCCAGUUCAGAUUGUGGGCUGAAACUCGCCCACAUGAAGGCGGAAUUGCUAGUAAUUGCAGAUCAGCAUGCUGCAGUGAAUACGUUCCCGGGCCUU